rnacentral:tRNA from 1 species
GAGUGUGGCUCAGAGGUAGAGUUCUCACCUAGCACGCACGAGGCCCUGGGUCCGAUCCUCAGCACCA